AAACAAAAAAAAAAAAAAAAAAAAAAAAAAAAAAAAAGAAAAGAAAAGAAAAAAAAAAAAAAAAAAACAAAACACAGCAGUUCCUGAAUAUUUUUCCUCUGGUUGGGAAAGCCAAGGACUGCCAUCAGGAAGGAAGACUUUUUGGCUUGUGCUGGCAUGAUGGUGGGAAGCAGGCAUCAGCUGAGCAGAGCGUCUCCAAAAACUGUCGACAAGUUUAGAUUUGUUUUGUUUUCUUUCAUUGCUGUUUCAGAGAAAAGGAAAAAAGAAAAAAAAAUUAAGGUAGUUGCCAAAAAAGUGGCAAAUACUGUUGGGUCUUUGAAAUUCAACCAUUUUUAACAACCAAUUUUCAAAUGUUUUGUCUCUCUUCUACAUUAUCUAGCAAUUGAACUUAUCAAUUUGGUUGUUGAAGCAUGUAUUAGACACAAAUGCAGGUUUUAAGACUGGAAUGCUUUUUAUUAAAAGCAACUAGCAUGAGAUAUUGCUUAAAUUGUUAGGUAUAAAUAUAUAUAUGUGUAUAAUGUAUAUUCCAAAUGUAUUCCAAGCUUAGAAACCGGAUUCCUAUGAAUUAUUGAGAAAAAUAUUUAUGAUGCAUUUAUAGAAAAAAGAAAACAAAUAUAUGUAAUAAAUGCAUACUCUAACAGUAGCCAUUGGAAGCUCCCUAGGGACAGAUUUGGGAAUUGGAACGUCAAAGGUGCUUUUGGAAAAGGAUCUAGGUUGAAACUCGAGGACUUGUCAGGCGACAGGUUGGGAAGUUUUUCAGAAAGCCAACACUUUAGCCACUGGGCAACUACCCUAAACAUUUGUAUUUUAAUUUAAGGUUUUUUGUUGUGAUCCUUUUCUAACAAACAUGAGAAAAAAAAAGAGUUUUUUAUAGCAAAGACGCUGAAUUUGCUGUUAAUUUUUAUAUGGAUAUUUCCCGAAACCCUCCGGAAGCCUUGUUUGUGUGACUCUGACAUUUCUUUUCCAUUUGGCAGGUUUCCUUUCUGAACGGCAGUAGCAUCUAAACCUUUCUUCUUCCCUCUUUUCUUGCUUAUAAUACAUGGGUUUUCCUUUUUUUUUCUUUUUUUUUUCCUCUGUAUUGUUUUCUCUCCUUUUCCUCAACUCUUUUGUACAGUGAGCAGCUUUCUGCAGGUGUAAGGAACUGUGGGCAGACCAACAGAGGUUGUUUUUUUCCGGGAAAGGGCGCAUUUUACCGAGGAGGAGGAUGAGGGACCGCGAUGGGCUCCUUUGUUGUACCGAUUCCGCCGACUGUAUAUUUCCUCAGCUCUCUUGUAGUAGCUCUGUAAAGAAAAUAAGGAAUUUUCUUACCUGGUAGUGUUCAGUGGGCAAUGCCUUUGUCCUGCCCGCGGCUCCUGGCGCUGCCUACCCUCGGGAAGGCUCCUUGGAUACUCCGGGACCGCCGGCGUUUUCUCUCCGCCGGACAUGCCCGCAAACUCCCCAGCUCCUCUCUCCCUCUUUUUCUCCCCUCUUCUUCUUCUUCUUCCUGAUGCUGGGAGGGGUUUUGGAGGCUUUAUUUUUUUUGCCCCCCGCCACCCCGAGGAGGUCAUUGCCUCCCGGGAAUGCCGGGUGGGAGAGGCCGCGAGCCCCGUCACGGAGAGCGGAGUGUCUUCACGAAGACGGCGCUCCCCGCGCGCCUUCCUCCAGCAGUGUAGGACAGCACAUCCCUCUUCCCAGCACAGCUUCUCCUUAACCACCCUUCCUUCAUUUAUCCUCUUCCCGUGGUGACUGGUGGGGUUGCUUCCAGUAACUUCUCUUCUUUCCAGUUUUCGAAGCAGCCGCUUUCGUUCCGUUCAGGACUCACUCGUGGGAGGAAUCGGGAGCAUGACCCCACGCUGGAGGCUUUUGUUUCCUUCCUCGAUUUCUAGCGCAGUUUCAGAACCAGACACUACAGUAUUUGAGUUGUGCAAACCCAAGUACAUCCUAAAACCCCAAAAAGCUCCAGUGGCAAGGCCUGUCCUUGGCAUAUCCUAAAAUUCCCCCCGUGCAAGAGCACUGUGUACCCGGGGAUGUUGUGGUUUGGGUUUUCUUCCAUCUGACCACGCUGCUGCUGUGAUCUCAAAUCCAUCCGACUGCCGAAUUUGGUGACAGGUGUGAGGUUUUGCUUCCUGUGCCAUGGGCAGUGCCUGUGUUUACACCUCCCUUUGUGCUGUCAGCUCUUCCCCGGAAGGUUUUUGACAUUUCUGCUCCCGGCUGUGGCAAUCCUUUUUCCUUCCUUUUUGCUCUCCUGGGAGCCGCCGGCUGACUGUGCUGAGCCGGUUCCUUUGGAAAAUCCAGAGGAGCUUGUUGGGAUGCCACCUUCCUUCCUUCCUUCAUUCCUUCCUUUCCAUCCUUUCCCUCAGCUUUUUGCCGGGAUGGGAAGAUUUUUCCCGAGAUGACAGAGCUCAUCUCCUCCAAACUCCCGGCAAUGUGGAUUUGUUUCGCAGCAUCCCCCUUUUCCCUGGGAACACUCUUCCCUGGGCUGUGACCGUCCCUGGGGAUGCUCUUCCCCGGGGAUGCUUUCCAGGGCCAGUGCAGGCACGGAGAGAAAGGAGAGAGCCCUUGUUUUGAGGCUCUCCAGGGGGAUUUUUCACCUUUUUGAGCCAUUAAGCUUCUUCAUUUCAGAUGACUUUGCCACGGGGGCGGCCAUGGCAGUGCGGUGGGAGCCCGGGAUGCUCCCACAUCCCGGCACGUGCUGCCCAGGGCAUCCUUUGUACCUGCUUGGGAAGAAAAGGAACAUCUUUCAAUCCUCUUUACAGUGAAGUGAGGCCCAGUUUGCAGUACACAAGUAACCAUUGGGGGUUUUUUGGUUGGUGUUUUUUUUUGUUUGGUUGAUUGUUUUUUUGUUGGGAUUUUUUUUUACUUUCGAUACAAAACAUUCCUUUUUUUUAUUAGUCACGGUCAUGUGCUCAUUCCAUUCUUCCUUUUGUAAACUUUUUUGGGCCCAUGUUCUUUUACGGGCAUUGAUAUAUAUAAAUAUAUAUAUAAAUAUAUAUGAAUAUAUUUUUUUAAGUUUCCUACACCUUGAGGUUGCAUGGUCUGUAAGGUUGGCAUGUCUUUAUAUUGUAUACAGAUUUUGCACGCCAAACUUGGCAGCUUUGAAAACGAUAAUGAGAAAAAGAAAACAAAAACAACAAAAAAAAAAAAAAAAGAGGGGGUUUGGGGUUUCUUUGGGUUGGUUUUUGUUUUGGUUUGGUUUUAUAUUGUUUUGGUUUUUUUUUUCCUCUCGUGGCAUUUGUGGAGACUAAAAGUGGUUGGGAUGUUGUUGUCACACACACUCACUCACCCACACAGCUACACACCAAGGAAGAAGAGUGGGAAUUCUUUUUUUUAUUUUUUUGGAGUCUUACUGAACUUAAUAAGAAGAAAUUGUGCUUUUUAUUGUUAAAAAGAGUAAAUAAAUAAAAAAAACAAAAAGGACUACUUAAACAUUUCUCAUUUUAAGAAGAAAAGAAAAAACUAAGACGUUUAUCUAGCACUUGUGACUUACCAAUAAUAGAGUUUAUUGUAUUUAUGUGGAAACAGUGUUUUUAGGGAAACUACGCCGAACACACCAAGUAAACUGCCUGUGUCAUUAUUAUUAUUGUUAUUAUUAUUAUUUUCCUUUGGGUUGGUGUUUUUGCUUUGAUUUCUCGGCUGGGUGGGGAGGUUGGAUGCAACCCUUGUGUCAACACACAGAGUCAUUCAUUCCGAGGAGCCGGAUGGAUGGAUGGAUGGAUGAGGAGGACUUUAAAGAGUUAACUCUUCAGCACAGCUGCGUUAACUUUUUUAAGAAAUUACUUUUACAUGAUGUAUUUUUGCUCGGUUUCACUUUAAGCAGUCGUGUACUGUGCAACACUGUGGUUUAAAAACGAGACUUUACAGCAAAAGGCAAAACGUGUUUCUUCAUUGUCAUGAAGUUGGGCUCGUUCUCAGCUCAUCUUCACUUUGUCUUUGAUAUUGAUGAUGAAAAAGAAAAAAGUAUCCUAUUGAAAGAAAAUAAAUUAACACUUUUUCUGUGCUCCAUAGUGGAGGCGCUAUUUUCCAAUUUAUGAGGAUGACAAACUGGGGAGGGGGGGGGAGGGGUUGAAACAUUAUUCACCCGAGAGCUUAUUACAGAUAUGUAGUAUCAAAAAGUUGUAACAAUAUUAUAUUCUACUUUAUACCUAUACAUGCUCAGUAUGACGUCACCAUUGGUAGCAGCUACCGGUUUACGCUGUAAUUUAGACACAAUUUCACUCUUCUUGUAUGGACCCUACUUUCAGUGAUGGUAGCAUUCUUUGUGCUCAACUUUCCAACGGUCCUUUCUUUUAAACUGGUGGAGUUGGAAUAUUUUUCUCAUUCUUGUUUUUUCUUUCUUUGUUUUUAUUUCAUUUUUAUUUCUUUUCUCUUUAUUUUGUUUGGGGUUUUGGUUUUUUUUUUUUCUUUUUUCUUUUUUUUUUUUUUUUUUACUGGCCAAUGGUGUCUUUCUCUGACAGUACCGACUUCAAUUUCAACUUUAUUAGGAGUCCAGUAUUUUGUACCACAUUAUGACAACUUGUUAUUCUUGUGGUGUAAAUAAAAGAAAAAAGUUAAUUAUAAGUGGGUUGGUGAUUGCUCUAGGACCAUGA